GACGAACGCUGGCGGCGGGCUUAACACAUGCAAGUCGAACGGAAAGGCCCUGCGUGUUUGGGGUGCUCGAGUGGCGAACGGGUGAGUAACAGGUGAGUAACCUGCCCUUGACUUUGGGAUAACUUCAGGAAACUGGGGCUAAUACCGGAUAGGAGCUCCUGCUGCAGGGUGGGGGUUGGAACGUUUCGGCGGUUGGGGAUGGACUCGCGGCUGAUGAGCUUGUUGGUGGGGUAGUGGCUUACCAAGGCUUUGACGGGUAGCCGGCCUGAGAGGGUGACCGGCGACCAUGGGCCUACGAUACGGCCCAGACUCGUACGGGAGACAGCAGUGGGGAAUCUUGCACAAUGGGAGGAAGCCUGAUGAAGCAACGCUGCGUGUGGGAUGACGGCCUUCGGGUUGUAAAAAGCUUUCGCCUGUGACGAAGCGUGAGUGACGGUACUGGGUAAAGAAGCACCGGCUAACUACGUG
rnacentral:rRNA from 1 species